rnacentral:rRNA from 1 species
UACGAUGGGGGCGAUGGUUGUUCGGAAUUACUGGGCGUAAAGCGCACGUAGGCGGACUCUUAAGUCAGGGGUGAAAUCCCGGGGCUCAACCUCGGAACUGCCUUUGAUACUGUGAGUCUCGAGACAGGAAGAGGUGAGUGGAAUUCCUAGUGUAGAGGUGAAAUUCGUAGAUAUUAGGAAGAACACCAGUGGCGACGGCGGCUCACUGGUCCGGUUCUGACGCUGAGGUGCGAAAGCGUGGGGAGCAAACAGG